UUUAAAAUAAAAUAUUUUAUGUAGAAUGUAUGUUUUACAUAUUGAAAUGUGAUUUUGCUUGUGGGUAUAUAUUAUCGUUAAAGAUUCACAUUUUAAAAAAUGCUGCAUAUCUUGAACAUUCGCUGAUGCUGUACUUUGGGAUGCUUUCAACUGUAUCUAGAAGAUGGAGAUUGAUGAUAUUCACCGUGUAUUGUACAAUGAUUCAUAUUUUCUAAAUAACAACAAUUGAAGUGAUGAGUUGGGGAGUUUGGGUUGGCUCAAAGUGAUUAAGGUAGGGAGCUAUAUAUAUGUAUGUUAUAUAAACCUAAUAUACCAAGAAGAAUAAUAGUCAAAUCCCUAUGUUAUAUAAACCUGAUUUUACGAAGGCACAAUUGACCGAAUUAUAAUGUUUGACUACUCACUUGUUCCCGACAAAUAUUAUCUUCUAUUCUUGACCAAUGAAUUUGGUGAAUAUGAUGAAAUAUGAGGAGUUUUUGCACAAGAAUAUAAAUAGAAAAAUAUAAUAAAAUACUAAUAAUAGUUGUCUCAAGAAUAUCAAAAGGAAUUAAGAGGAAAUAGGGAAUAUUUAAGAUUUUAAAAGAGUGAUAAAGAUUUAG
rnacentral:lncRNA from 1 species